AUAAAAUAAUAGUUAUCGCCUUGUAUAAGUUCAAGAAUAUGGCUUGAACGUUUCUACCAGCUACCUUUAAAUAGCCUGUCUACAAGGAGUGAAAAUAUGUAU
rfam:Bacilli bacterium VT-13-104 contig029, whole genome shotgun sequence.